rnacentral:rRNA from 1 species
CUACGGGGGGCAGCAGUGGGGAAUAUUGCACAAUGGGCGCAAGCCUGAUGCAGCCAUGCCGCGUGUGUGAAGAAGGCCUUCGGGUUGUAAAGCACUUUCAGCGGGGAGGAAGGCGUUAAGGUUAAUAACCUUGGCGAUUGACGUUACCCGCAGAAGAAGCACCGGCUAACUCCGUGCCAGCAGCCGCGGUAAUACGGAGGGUGCAAGCGUUAAUCGGAAUUACUGGGCGUAAAGCGCACGCAGGCGGUCUGUCAAGUCGGAUGUGAAAUCCCCGGGCUCAACCUGGGAACUGCGUUCGAAACUGGCAGGCUAGAGUCUUGUAGAGGGGGGUAGAAUGCCGGGUGUAGCGGUGAAAUGCGUAGAGAUCUGGAGGAAUACCGGUGGCGAAGGCGGCCCCCUGGACAAAGACUGACGCUCAGGUGCGAAAGCGUGGGGAGCAAACAGGAUUAGAUACCCGGGUAGUC